rnacentral:misc_RNA from 1 species
UCCGGUUUAACACCGGCAGUCUCUCUAGAGUCCCCAACUUAAUGAUGGUAACUAAAGAUAAGGGUUGCGCUCGUUAUUGGACUUAACCAGACAUCUUACGACACGAGCUGACGACAGCCAUGCAGCACCUAUCUCCAAGUCCCCGAAGGGACAAUUACAUCUCUGCAAUCUUCUUGGGAUGUUAAGGGUAGGUAAGGUUCUGCGCGUUGCUUCGAAUUAAACCACAUACUCCACCGCUUGUGCGGGCCCCCGUCAAUUCCUUUGAGUUUUAGCCUUGCGACCGUACUCCCCAGGCGGGAUACUUAAUGCGUUAGCUUUAGUACUCAGGGGGUUAACUCCCCGAACACUUAGUAUCCAUCGUUUACGGCGUGGACUAC